AUUGAACGCUGGCGGUAUGCCUUACACAUGCAAGUCGAACGGUAGAGGGGCAACCCUUGAGAGUGGCGAACGGGUGAGUAAUACAUCGGAACGUGCCCAGUCGUGGGGGGUAACGUAGCGAAAGCUACGCUAAUACCGCAUACGACCCGAGGGUGAAAGCGGGGGACUCGCAAGGGCCUCGCGCGAUUGGAGCGGCCGAUGGCAGAUUAGGUAGUUGGUGGGGUAAAGGCCCACCAAGCCUGCGAUCUGUAGCUGGUCUGAGAGGACGACCGGCCACACUGGGACUGAGACACGGCCCAGACUCCUACGGGAGGCAGCAGUGGGGAAUUUUGGAAAAUGGGCGAAAGCCUGAUCCAGCAAUGCCGCGUGUGUGAAGAAGGCCUUCGGGUUGUAAAGCACUUUUGUCCGGAAAGAAAUGGCUCUGGUUAAUACCUGGGGUCGAUGACGGUACCGGAAGAAUAAGGACCGGCUAACUACGUGCCAGCCGCCGCAGUAAGAC
rnacentral:rRNA from 1 species